rnacentral:rRNA from 1 species
CGGACGGGUGAGUAACGCGUGAGAAUCUGCCUUCAGGUCGGGGACAACAGCUGGAAACGGCUGCUAAUACCGGAUGUGCCGAGAGGUGAAAGCUAAAGGCGCCUGAAGAUGAGCUCGCGUCUGAUUAGCUAGUUGGUGGGGUAAGAGCCUACCAAGGCGACGAUCAGUAGCUGGUCUGAGAGGAUGAUCAGCCACACUGGGACUGAGACACGGCCCAGACUCCUACGGGAGGCAGCAGUGGGGAAUUUUCCGCAAUGGGCGCAAGCCUGACGGAGCAAUACCGCGUGAGGGAGGAAGGCCUUUGGGUUGUAGACCUCUUUUGUCAGGGAAGAAGGACUGACGGUACCUGACGAAUCAGCAUCGGCUAACUCCGUGCCAGCAGCCGCGGUAAUACGGAGGAUGCAAGCGUUAUCCGGAUUUAUUGGGCGUAAAGGGUCCGCAGGUGGUUUUUCAAGUCUGCCGUCAAAGCGCGGAGCUUAACUCCGUACAGGCGGUGGAAACUGAGAGACUAGAGUCUGGUAGGGGUCGCGGGAAUUCCCAGUGUAGCGGUGAAAUGCGUAGAUAUUGGGAAGAACACCGGCGGCGAAAGCGCGCGACUGGACCGGAACUGACACUGAGGGACGAAAGCUAGGGGAGCGAAAGGGAUUAGAUACCCCUGUAGUC